UACUUUGCCCGUCAUGUGAUGCUCCGAUCAACCUACACGAGUUGAAGCCUGACAAAUCGGCUGAAAGAAAGCUUCAAAUGAUCAAGUCAUGCAAGUGUAAAAACUGCAGCUGGAAAGGAUCCUACACUGAUUACAUCCAGGCAUGAACAUGCUGGUGCAUUUUAUCUCUUGCUGCAUGAACUAGCCUAGAUUAGUGUUUUAGAUUUGGGGCUUGGUGGAUGUGACUAGGCUAAACAGCGGCGAGAUGAAUGCUGAUGACCAUGGUGCAAGCUGCUUCAGGAUUUGUUCUACCUUUCUGCUGGCUCAGACUGGAUGAGGG